UACGAAGGGGGCUAGCGUUGCUCGGAAUCACUGGGCGUAAAGCGCACGUAGGCGGCUUUCUAAGUCAGGGGUGAAAUCCUGGAGCUCAACUCCAGAACUGCCUUUGAUACUGGAGAGCUAGAGUCCGGAAGAGGUGAGUGGAACUGCGAGUGUAGAGGUGAAAUUCGUAGAUAUUCGCAAGAACACCAGUGGCGAGGGCGGCUCACUGGUCCGGUACUGACGCUGAGGUGCGAAAGCGUGGGGAGCAAACAGG
rnacentral:rRNA from 1 species